UUUUUCACAUUUUUCUAUAUAUAUUAUCGAGAGAAUGUAUUUGAUUAUUGAUAGGUACAUACUACAUUCUCCGACAUUUGAUUUCGUCUAAAGAGAUAUUCGCUGUGAAGUGCAUCUUUUUCUCGUCCUAGGGUUCGCUUUCAUCAUCGUAGAGAUUUGAUUUGAGAAAUGGCCGGUUUACCUGCGAAGCUUCGUCUUCAACCCUCCGUCGUCAAAUCCGCCGCCUUGUGGGGUGUCGCUGCCGCUACCGGUGGUCUCUACCUCGUUC
rnacentral:lncRNA from 1 species